rnacentral:rRNA from 1 species
UACGUAGGGGGCAAGCGUUAUCCGGAUUCACUGGGCGUAAAGGGCGCGUAGGCGGUUCCGUAAGUCAGGCGUGAAAGCUCACGGCUCAACUGUGGACGUGCGUCUGAUACUGCGGUGACUUGAGGUCGGUAGAGGUAAGUGGAACUAGCGGUGUAGCGGUGAAAUGCGCAGAUAUCGCUAGGAACGCCGGUGGCGAAGGCGACUUGCUGGGCCGUACCUGACGCUGAUGCGCGAAAGCUAGGGGAGCGAA